CACAGAACAAAUUAAGUGUUUAACUAAAACCACAGAUUGCAGCACCAAAAUAAAAAAACGCAGUUACACUGGACAAACAUGCGUACAAGGAUUUCUCAAACCCAUCCGGGCGAAUGACUUGGCUUGGAAGAAAGCUCCUAGCUGGGGUCACCAUUCGUUAGGACCUAGGGGUUCUGCCUAACACUCAGACAUGGAUCCACCU